UCUGUUGUUAGGGAAGAACAAGUGCCGUUCAAAUAGGGCGGCACCUUGACGGUACCUAACCAGAAAGCCACGGCUAACUACGUGCCAGCAGCCGCGGUAAUACGUAGGUGGCAAGCGUUGUCCGGAAUUAUUGGGCGUAAAGGGCUCGCAGGCGGUUUCUUAAGUCUGAUGUGAAAGCCCCCGGCUCAACCGGGGAGGGUCAUUGGAAACUGGGGAACUUGAGUGCAGAAGAGGAGAGUGGAAUUCCACGUGUAGCGGUGAAAUGCGUAGAGAUGUGGAGGAACACCAGUGGCGAAGGCGACUCUCUGGUCUGUAACUGACGCUGAGGAGCGAAAGCGUGGGGAGCGAACAGGAUUAGAUACCCUGGUAGUCCACGCCGUAAACGAUGAGUGCUAAGUGUUAGGGGGUUUCCGCCCCUUAGUGCUGCAGCUAACGCAUUAAGC
rnacentral:rRNA from 1 species